GACAGAGGGUGCAACCGUUGCUCGGAAUCACUGGGCGUAAAGGGCGUGUAGGCGGGAAGGAAAGUCGGGCGUGAAAUCCCUGGGCUCAACCCAGGAACUGCACUCGAAACUUCUUUUCUUGAGUGCCGGAGAGGAAAGCGGAAUUCCUGGUGUAGAGGUGAAAUGCGCAGAUAUCAGGAAGAACACCCGUGGCGAAGGCGGCUCUCUGGGACGGUACUGACGCUGAGACGCGAAAGCGUGGGGAGCGAACAGG
rnacentral:rRNA from 1 species